rnacentral:rRNA from 1 species
AGUGAACGCUGGCGGUAGGCCUAACACAUGCAAGUCGAACGGCAGCACAGUAAGAGCUUGCUCUUACGGGUGGCGAGUGGCGGACGGGUGAGGAAUACAUCGGAAUCUACUUUUUCGUGGGGGAUAACGUAGGGAAACUUACGCUAAUACCGCAUACGACCUACGGGUGAAAGCAGGGGAUCUUUGGACCUUGCGCGAUUGAAUGAGCCGAUGUCGGAUUAGCUAGUUGGCGGGGUAAAGGCCCACCAAGGCGACGAUCCGUAGCUGGUCUGAGAGGAUGAUCAGCCACACUGGAACUGAGACACGGUCCAGACUCCUACGGGAGGCAGCAGUGGGGAAUAUUGGACAAUGGGCGCAAGCCUGAUCCAGCCAUACCGCGUGGGUGAAGAAGGCCUUCGGGUUGUAAAGCCCUUUUGUUGGGAAAGAAAAGCGGCAGGUUAAUACCCCGCUGUUCUGACGGUACCCAAAGAAUAAGCACCGGCUAACUUCGUG